AGUCCCCAACCAGGUAGUCUACACCUACCGACAUGACUUAGACCACUUGUCAGUGACUUCAUGAACUUGUACCCUGUUUUGGUCUGGCCGCCCCUAACUUUCUUCCAGCUUACUCCUAUACCACUGAACAUCGCACGUCGAGACAAAAUGAUUAAUAACCUUUCAGGAUUAACGGCUUAUAUCCGACUAUGGAUUGUCGGUAACAACGUAGAACUUCGUACAUGUAUGUACAUCAAUUCGAGCAAUUUCAAAGGUAACACGUGUACAUCAGUUCAGGUUGGUGUAUUUUAUAGUACAGCUAGAUGAAAGUGUUUGCACAGAUCGACAGGAGUCCUAAUAAUAGAAAAGAUUAAGCAUCCAAGAUACAAUUAUAGAAAAAGUGGACGGUGGUGCCAUUUCGUGAAUUGCUUGAAGUUAGACAUUAACACCAUUGAAUGCCGACCGGCUCAGUGAUCUACAGUUUAAGCGUUCACGCGCAAAACUGAUAGGUCCUGGGUUCAAAUCCGGUGAGGCGGGAUCGUCGACGCUCACUGUCGACGAGUCCUAUCCUAAGACGAAUCGGUCAUCCAGUGCUUCCAGGUUUUCCAUGGUGGUCUAGCUUGAAUUGGCUCAUGAAUUUAAUCAUUAAAAAGUUACAAAUUAGUGGGAUAAAAAAUAUCUAUGAAGAAAUUAAAAUAUAAGGGAAAAUGAAGAGUGAAUACGCGUAAGCCAUUGCGAAAGAUUUUGAGACAUAUCAUUCAAGGUCUCUACAGAUUGGUCAUGAUGAUAACACGAACCUCAACGAGGUAAUUUACGCGUACAAAUAUCGCGAAACAUAACAUAAAAUAACUAAAUAGCAAAAUAUCAGGAGAUAAGUGAGUGUUUUAGCGUCAUUGUAACCGACUGUGAGUCAUGUUACCUAACGUUUCGGAACUUGAUGACCCAUGCGCAUUUUACAAAUAUACGCUUAAGUUUAUAUUUAAACUGUUGAAGACCACGAAAUUGUUUCAACUGAAAUAACAAGCGACACACUUAGGUUGCACGAAAUUGAGCAAUAACGGGUUUAUGUUGCCCUUAGGUGUCCGGGCCCCAGGUGCGCUAUAACGACGGUGCCAGCGAGUUUUGAAUCCUGACCCGAAAUGGUUUGGCAAAGUGUUUCGUCACCGUCGGGGCUUGCAAUUGUUCCCCGUGGACAAGGAAUUCCUUGUAAGUGCACUGAAUACGUCGCUGCCCUUUGUACACACCGCCCAUCACUACUACCGAUUCAAUGAUUUGGUGAGGCCGUUGUAGUGUUUUCUUCGCUCGAAUAAUACUUAGAUGACCUAAUUUGACAAUUUAGAUUCAGUAAAAGUCAUAACAAGGUUUUCGUAGGUGAACCUCCGGAAGGAUUAUUU
rnacentral:ncRNA from 1 species